rnacentral:rRNA from 1 species
UGGGGAAUAUUGGGCAAUGGGGGCAACCCUGACCCGGCGACGCCGCGUGAGGGAAGACGGCCUUCGGGUUGUAAACCUCUUUUGUACGGGAAGAAGGAAGUGACGGUACUGUACGAAUAAGUCCCGGCUAACUACGUGCCAGCAGCCGCGGUAAUACGUAGGGGACGAGCGUUGUCCGGAAUUACUGGGCGUAAAGGGCGCGCAGGCUGUGCUGCAAGUCAGCUGUGAAAUAUCUGGGCUUAACCUGGAUAUGCGGUUGAGACUGCAGUGCUGGAGUGCUGUAGAGGCAAGUGGAAUUCCCAGUGUAGCGGUGAAAUGCGUAGAUAUUGGGAAGAACACCGGUGGCGAAGGCGACUUGCUGGGCAGCAACUGACGCUGAGGCGCGAAAAGCCAGGGGAGCAAACGGGAUUAGAUACCCCGGUAGUCCUGGCCGUAAACGAUGAAUGCUAGGUGUGGGUGUAGAGAUACAUUCGUGCCGGAGUUAACGCGAUAAGCAUUCCGCCUGGGGAGUACGGUCGCAAGAUUGAAACUCAAAUGAAUUGACGGGGUCAUAGCUGUUUCCU